UGGCGGACGGGUGAGUAACGCGUGGAAAACCUGCCGUAUACUGGGGGAUAACACUUAGAAAUAGGUGCUAAUACCGCAUAAGCGCACAGCUUCGCAUGAAGCGGUGUGAAGAACUCUGGUGGUAUACGAUGGUUCCGCGUCUGAUUAGCUAGUUGGUGGGGUAAUGGCCUACCAAGGCAACGAUCAGUAGCCGGCCUGAGAGGGUGAACGGCCACAUUGGGACUGAGACACGGCCCAAACUCCUACGGAAGGCAGCAG
rnacentral:rRNA from 1 species